GAUCUCGUGGCUCAAUGGUAGAGCAUCAGACUCCGGAUCUGAAGGUUGCGGGUUCGAGUCCCGUCGGGAUCU
rnacentral:tRNA from 1 species